UACGGAGGGGGCUAGCGUUGUUCGGAAUUACUGGGCGUAAAGCGCACGUAGGCGGCUUUGUAAGUUAGAGGUGAAAGCCCGGGGCUCAACUCCGGAAUUGCCUUUAAGACUGCAUCGCUCGAGUUGUGGAGAGGUAAGUGGAACUCCGAGUGUAGAGGUGAAAUUCGUAGAUAUUCGGAAGAACACCAGUGGCGAAGGCGACUUACUGGACACAUACUGACGCUGAGGUGCGAAAGCGUGGGGAGCAAACAGG
rnacentral:rRNA from 1 species